UGCCAGCCGCCGCGGUAAUACGUAGGUGGCAAGCGUUGUCCGGAAUUAUUGGGCGUAAAGAGCAUGUAGGUGGAUUAUUAAGUCGGACGUUAAAAUGCGGGGCUCAACCCCGUAUUGCGUUGGAUACUGGUAAUCUUGAGUGCAGGAGAGGAAAGGGGAAUUCCCAGUGUAGCGGUGAAAUGCGUAGAUAUUGGGAGGAACACCAGUGGCGAAGGCGCCUUUCUGGACUGUAACUGACACUGAGAUGCGAAAGCUAGGGUAGCAAACGGGAUUAGAUA
rnacentral:rRNA from 1 species